CGACACUUCCAUUGGACUCCGUUGUAGCGCCUACUUCCGGGGUAUGGAGCCUCGAAUAGUUCCAAACAACCAUUUUACGGCGGAGGAGACCGUUCAUUUCCAUUGCUGGCCGCCGAGUAACUUCUGAGGGUGAUGUUCAGCACAUGAAGCCCUACAGAUGCCGCCGAUUCAACAAUGCUGAUUAUGAUGGGCGGUCAAUUUAACCUUUGCCUUAUUAGGUCCUCCACAGUCGCCCCAUCAGUCCCUGGCAGUCUGGUCCCUGGAGCAGCUGGCCCUGGCAAAAGUUAUUCCUUCACUGUUGACCCCUGACUGACUGGCCCUCGGCACACAAAUCCCUGGAUCACCUGCCCCUGGAUCACCUGCCCCUGGAUCACCUGCCCCUGGCAAUGUAACAUCUUGAUUGCUCUCUCCGUCUCCUGUGAUGUCCUUUUCAACGCUCUUGAAAUCCACCUCAAUUUCUCCCUCAAUCUCUGUAAUAAUUACAAGGUAAUGUUGCUGUUAUAUGUAUUUUGCCUUUGCAUUUGCAACUACUGUCAUCUCCAAUGUAAUAAAAUGAAUUAAAGCAAAACAUUUCUGUAAUGUGAAUUAAAUCAUCUGCCACAAUCAGAAACCAAUACAAUUUAUAAAUGGAUCUACCGGCAAUUGUUAAUUGGGUAGAAAUGUGUCGAUUAUCUACAUUGUGUGCAAAUCCUCAGAGAA